rnacentral:lncRNA from 1 species
AUGUCCUGAGAUGAAGUUUUUCUCCAACGGAGCACUGAGCACUCCCAAGCUGCGGAGAGUUAAUUUCAAUGAUGUAGAGAAGAAAAAUCUCAACACCACAAUACAACAGUUGUCUACACAAACGAUAAGUACCGACCAAGCAUUCCAAUUUCUGCAAACCAUGAAAUAAGUUCUAACUAGGUAUCUAAUUUUGCUUGUAUUUAACUAUUUCAGAAAGCUCAAAUUGCUGAAAGUUCAUCAUCGUAAAAGCUUGAGAUACAUGCUUGCUCCACCGAUGGGUUCGAUCCCUGUGCAGCUCCUAGAGUUGGAAGUAAAAGGAGAGAAAGGAAGAAAGGAGGGAGAUGAAGAAGACAGGAGCAGGAGAAAUCAAUUAAUGAUCUUCAUAA